rnacentral:snRNA from 1 species
ACUCUUGCGCAGUGGCAGUAUCAUAGCCUAUGAGGUUCAACUGAGGCGUGAUUAUUGCUAAUUGAAAACUUUACCCAAUUACCCCGCCAUGACGACUUGAAAUUUACGAGUUAUCCAAAGAGGAU